GACGAAGUUCCUUUUGAAGCCCGGCAGAUCAAUCUAAUGGAGUUACUAGAGGCACAUGCCACCCCGCCAGAGCUCAGCUUCCUGCUUGUGCACCCAGUCUCUGCCAGUCUGGGGUGCAGAAAGCAGUGACUUUUACCUAAUACUUCACGGAAAGAUAACACCCUACCAACCAUCACAUGCACUUUGGGCUGACUUUUGAGGUGUUUAUUCAAGGGCUAGAUUGUGACUUGGACUACAUGGUCAUAGUGGGGAGCCAAACCUUGUGUGGUUAUCCAGAUCCUGGGUCCAGGCCAUUGCUUACUCCCUCCCCAGAGUAGGGAGGUGUGGGAAACGCGUGAAGCCCGGCUUGCAUCUCACCCUAUUCAGGAAACAAGACUGGGAUUG